UACGUAGGGUGCAAGCGUUAAUCGGAAUUACUGGGCGUAAAGCGUGCGCAGGCGGUUUUGUAAGACCGAUGUGAAAUCCCCGGGCUCAACCUGGGAACUGCAUUGGUGACUGCAAGGCUUGAGUGUGUCAGAGGGAGGUGGAAUUCCGCGUGUAGCAGUGAAAUGCGUAGAUAUGCGGAGGAACACCGAUGGCGAAGGCAAUCCCCUGGGCCUGCACUGACGCUCAUGCACGAAAGCGUGGGGAGCAAACAGG
rnacentral:rRNA from 1 species